GCAGCAGUGGGGAAUUUUGGACAAUGGGGGCAACCCUGAUCCAGCCAUGCCGCGUGAGUGAAGAAGGCCUUCGGGUUGUAAAGCUCUUUCAGCCGGAACGAAACGGUACGGGUUAACACCCUGUGCUACUGACGGUACCGGCAGAAGAAGCACCGGCUAACUACGUGCCAGCAGCCGCGGUAAUACGUAGGGUGCGAGCGUUAAUCGGAAUUACUGGGCGUAAAGCGUGCGCAGGCGGAUUGUUAAGCAAGACGUGAAAUCCCCGGGCUUAACCUGGGAAUGGCGUUUUGAACUGGCAGUCUAGAGUGCGUCAGAGGGGGGUGGAAUUCCACGUGUAGCAGUGAAAUGCGUAGAGAUGUGGAGGAACACCGAUGGCGAAGGCAGCCCCCUGGGAUGACACUGACGCUCAUGUACGAAAGCGUGGGUAGCAAACAGGAUUAGAUACCCUGGUAGUCCACGCCCUAAA
rnacentral:rRNA from 1 species